UUUUAAAUAAAGAAGAGUUUGUAGUGGAUGCCUUGGGUCUGGAAGUCGAAGAAGGACGUGAUUACCUGCGAUAAGCCUCGUUUAGUUGGAUAUAAACUUUGAGACGGGGAUUUCCGAAUGGGGAAACCUAACUAGAUUAAUCUCUAGUUGCCCACUUUUGAAUAUAUAGAAAGUGUGAGCGAGACACCUUGUGAAUUGAAACAUCUUAGUAGCAAGAGGAAAAGAAAAUAAAUAAUGAUUCUGUUAGUAGUGGCGAGCGAAAGCAGAAGAGCCCAAACCGUAUUUAUACGGGGUUGUAGGACAGUCUACAUAGAGUUACAAAGAUUAUGUAUAGUAGAAAAAGCUGGGAAGCUUUGACAUAGAGGGUGAUAUCCCCGUAUACGAAAUGCAUAAUUCUCUUGACUGCAUCCUGAGUAGGGCGGGGCACGUGAAACCCUGUCUGAAUCUGCCGGGACCAUCCGGUAAGGCUAAAUACUAACCAGACACCGAUAGUGAACUAGUACCGUGAGGGAAAGGUGAAAAGAACCCCGGGAGGGGAGUGAAAUAGAUUCUGAAACUACUUACUUACAAUUAGUCAGAGCACGUUAAUGUGUGAUGGCGUACAUCUUGCAGUAUGGACCGGCGAGUUAUGUUAACAUGCGAGGUUAAGUGGAUAAAAGCGGAGCCGAAGAGAAAUCGAGUCUGAAUAGGGCGAAUUAGUAUGUUGACAUAGACCCGAAACCAGGUGAUCUAUUCAUGAGCAGGUUGAAGCUUAGGUAAUACUAAGUGGAGGACCGAACCGUAGUACGCUGAAAAGUGCCCGGAUGACUUGUGAAUAGCGGUGAAAUUCCAAUCGAACCUGGAUAUAGCUGGUUCUCCUCGAAAUAGCUUUAGGGCUAGCGUGUGAUGUUAAACUUUGGUGGUAGAGCACUGAAUAUGGAAUGGCGGCGCCUAGCUGUACUGACCAUAAUCAAACUCCGAAUACCAUUGUGUAUUAUCAUGCAGUCGGAACAUCGGUGAUAACGUCGAUGCUCGCGAGGGUAACAACCCAGAUCGUCAGCUAAGGUCCCAAAAUUUAUGUUAAGUGAUAAAGGUUGUGAGGUUUCUCAAACAACUAGGAAGUUGGCUUAGAAGCAGCCAUCUUUUAAAGAGUGCGUAAUAGCUCACUAGUCAAGAGACCUUGCGCCGACAAUGUAACGGGACUAAACAUAAUACCGAAGCUACGGGCAUUAUUAAAUGCGUUAGAGGAGCGUUCUAAGGACGGCGAAGCUAAACCGUGAGGAUUAGUGGAGUGCUUAGAAGUGAGAAUGCCGGUAUGAGUAACGAUUCAGAGUGAGAAUCUCUGACGCCUAUUGGGAAAGGUUUCCUGGGGAAGGUUCGUCCACCCAGGGUUAGUCGGGUCCUAAGAUCAGGCUGAAAAGCGUAGUCGAUGGAUAACAGGUUAAUAUUCCUGUACUUCCGAUAGUAAGUGAUGGAGUGACGGAGAAGGAUAAUUCUACCAAUUAAUGGAUUUUGGGGCAAGGAAAUGAGGGGUCAAUGUAGGCAAAUCCGCAUUGUUUAACCUUGAGUUCUGAUGCAUAGGGAAAGUUUCGACAAUUACCGAAUUGAAUGAUUUCACGCUUCCAAGAAAAGCUUCUAAACGUUAUAAAACUAUAGGAACCCGUACCGAGAACGGACACACGUUCCCAAGAUGAGUAUUCUAAGGCGAGCGAGAAAACCAAUGUUAAGGAACUCUGCAAAUUCACCCCGUAAGUUCGCGAGAAGGGGGGCCAUUCUUUGAAUGGCAACAUUAAAUUGUGAGGGGCAACUGUUUAUCAAAAACACAGCUCUCUGCUAAGUCGCAAGACGAUGUAUAGGGGGUGAAGUCUGCCCAGUGCCCGAAGGUUAAGUGGAGCUGUUAGCUUACGCAAAGCAGCAAAAUGAAGCCCGGGUGAACGGCGGCUGUAACUAUAACGGUCCUAAGGUAGCGAAAUUCCUUGUCGGCUAAAUACUGACCUGCACGAAAGACGCAAUGAUCUCUCAACUGUCUCAACAUUGGACUCGGUGAAAUUAUGGUUCCAGUGAAAACGCUGGAUACCCGCAUCAAAACGAAAAGACCCCGUGGAGCUUUACUACAACUUCGUAUUGGAAUUUGGUUUAACAUGUGUAGGAUAGGUGGGAGAUGGAGAAGCGGAGACGCUAGUUUCUGUGGAAUCAACCUUGAAAUACCACCCUUGUUAAAUUGAGUUUCUAACCUAUGACCGUCAUCCGGUCAGGAGACAGUGCGUGGUGGGUAGUUUGACUGGGGCGGUCGCCUCCCAAAAGGUAACGGAGGCGUUCAAAGCUACACUCAAUAUGGUCAGAAACCAUAUGUAGAGCGCAAAGGUAAAAGUGUGGUUGACUGUGAGACCUACAAGUCGAGCAGGUGCGAAAGCAGGACUUAGUGAUCCGGCAGUUCAUUAUGGAAUGGCUGUCGCUCAACGGAUAAAAGCUACCCCGGGGAUAACAGGGUUAUCUUCCCCAAGAGAUCACAUCGACGGGAAGGUUUGCCACCUCGAUGUCGGCUCAUCGCAUCCUGGAGCUGGAGUUGGUUCCAAGGGUUUGGCUGUUCGCCAAUUAAAGCGGUACGCGAGCUGGGUUCAGAACGUCGUGAGACAGUUCGGUCCCUAUUUGAUGUGGGCGUUGGAAUAUUGAUGAGAGCUGCUCUUAGUACGAGAGGACCGGAGUGGACGUACCACUGGUGCUCCAGUUGUUUCGCCAGAAGCAUAGCUGGGUAGCUAAGUACGGAAAGGAUAACCGCUGAAAGCAUCUAAGCGGGAAGCCUCCUCAAAGAUGAGUAUUCCCUUGAAAUUCCUUGUAGACUACGAGGUUGAUAGGCCAGAGGUGUAAGUGUAGUAAUACAUUCAGCUGACUGGUACUAAUAAAUUGAUAGGUUUAAAAGU
rfam:Mycoplasma pulmonis TAB CTIP, complete genome